rnacentral:tRNA from 1 species
GCGCCAGUCCAACGCCGGCGAGUGGGACAGGAUGUCGGCCUCGAGGCGCCGAAGGUCGGGCCCGGGGUCGAUUCCCAGCGAGUCCCUCAGGCGCA